AUGUGGGAAGAAUGCUUGCCUCAUAUUGAGUUUGCUUAUAAUCGUUCAUUGCAUUCUACUACUAAGAUGUGCCCUUUUGAAAUUGUGUAUGGUUUCCUACCUCGUGCACCUAUUGAUUUGUUGCCUCUUCCAUCUUCGGAGAAGGUUAAUUUUGAUGCUAAACAACGUGCUGAAUUGAUCUUAAAAAUGCAUGAGUUAACUAAGGAAAACAUUGAGCGUAUGAAUGCUAAAUAUAAACUUGCUGGAGAUAAGGGUAGAAAACAUGUUGUGUUUGCACCUGGAGAUCUUGUUUGGUUACAUUUGCGUAAGGAUAGAUUUCCUGAUUUGCGCAAAUCAAAGCUAAUGCCACGUGCUGAUGGUCCCUUUAAGGUGUUAGAGAAAAUAAAUGAUAAUGCAUAUAAACUUGAGCUGCCUGCAGAUUUUGGAGUUAGUCCCACUUUUAACAUUGCAGAUUUGAAGCCUUAUUUGGGUGAGGAAGAUGAACUUCCGUCGAGGACGACUUCAUUUCAAGAAGGGGAGGAUGAUGAGGACAUCAAUACAAUUGUUACACCCACAGCCCCUGCUGCUAUACAUACUGGACCAAUUACUAGAGCUCGUGCACGCCAACUAAAUUACCAGGAAACAGACCCUCGUGGUCAGGUUGAUCGUGCUCCGGCGUGGUCAAUAACCUCUCGGAGUUGGUUUAGCGAUUGCUAA
rnacentral:rRNA from 1 species